rnacentral:lncRNA from 10 species
CUUGCAUAUCUGGGCUCAGUCUCUGUACUCUCACUGCAAGCCUGAGAGGAAUGCAUUGAGAGGAUGGCAUGAGGAAGCACUUUUUCCUAUGUGAGGUCUUGAGGAACUGCCAUACUUUUUUACACAGCAGCUGCACCAUUUUACAUUCCCACCAGCAAUGCACAACGGUUCUGAUUUCUCUAUGUCUUUUACUGCUGAAAGCAUCCUGAGUGACACAAACUUGAAGCAUGCAAGAGGACUAAAUAACUUCCAAAGUCACACAUAUUGCAUGUCAAGAGCCAGCUUCAAACUCAAGUCCCUGUGACCAGAGGUCGAUGCUCUAAACACAUUUCUGCAUGACCUGCUUGUGGCAGCCUGGAGAAAUUCUACAUAAAUCUUCUCAGAUUCCAGAGGCUGCGAGGUCUGAGAUCAAGGAUCUGACACCUGGUGAGGGCCUUUUUGCUGCAUCAUUUCACAUAGAGACAAAAAGAUUCUCACCUGUAAGCUUGAAUUAUGUCUACAUCAUGCUUGGGAAAUGUCCAUAUAUUCUAAGCUUGAAACUGCAGUGAUGAGGACGUCACCACUUCCAGAGAGAACACUUUACUACCAGGCAACUUGAGUACAAUAGGCAGCCACAAAUAUCAUCCUUGCUAGCCAGGAAUGACAAGGAGCAAGCCACAUGAGGAGUCAGAAAAGAUUAUUCCAGGCAGGGCUGAGAUCUGCAUUAUGGUCUGGAGGCUGCCCCAGUCUCUCCUUUACCUCCAUAUUUUUCUCACAGGAGUUGGUCUUACGGAAUUCACAAAUACUGUAUGCCAUUGUAUCACGUCAAGCAGUCC